GGGCUGUGUUUGAAUUGUGCUGGCUCUGCCCCUGAUCUGCCUCUUUGUCAGUCUCAGCCAAUCCUAUGGGGAAGCAUUGUGAUUGGAUCAGGCUACCACUUAUGCUGAUGUCAGCAGGCAGUGGGCAAGUCUAAAGGAAACAGGGACAAAGAAGCAGCUGCAGGCUUGAAUACAAGUAAGAUUUUUACUAUAUGGAGGCAUGAGAAGGAGAGGGGGGCUAGAUGGUGGUUUUAAAGGGACUGCGCAUUAGAGCUCUCCAUAGGAAAGCAUUGAAAAUGCUUUUCAGUGGUUUCCUAUGGGGAAUUGAGCGAUGCUGGAGAUCCUCACACAGCGUGAGGAUGUCCAGGGAUGCUCUAGCACAGAAAAUCUGUGCUAUAGACAUGGAAGUGCCCUCUAGUGGCUGUCUUGUAGAGUGGAGUUAACCCUACAAGGUAAUUAUUGCAGUUUAUAAAAAAAACUGCAAUUACAAUUGCAGGGUUAAGGGUAGUGGGAGUUGGCACCCAGACCACUCCAAUGGGCAGAAGUGGUCUGGGUGCCCGGAGUGUCCCUUUAACCCUAAAGGGUCAGGAAUACAUGUUUGUGUUCCUGGCCGUAAAGUGCUCCUUUAAGUUCAACUAUUUUGGCCUUCAAUUUGAAAUUUACUUUAAAUUCCCAACAAUUUUCACUUUAUUAAAUAACCCUGUCAAAUGAAAGAAGGAAGAUCAGACAUUUAAUGUAAGAUACAGGAAAGAAUUCCUGAGCAAAUGUUAUUUAUAUAAUCUAGGCAAGACUGAAUCUACCACCAAAUUUGUAAUAUUAACAGAACCAGGGCUGUAACAGCGUCUAUUGGACCGUAAGACCAACCCUAAUAUUCCACAGCUAAAAGUGGAAGAAAAAUUCUAUGUUAGAUCAUCUAAUUUUUAGUGGCAAUCAUAGGCUGAGAUUAAUGGGGUAAUGCAGAAGCCACAGUAAAGGGCUGGGAUGCAGGUGUUGGGAAAACAACAGUUCUUAUAAACCACUGAAAGCAAUUUUACAG